rnacentral:lncRNA from 1 species
UAGGGGUGUGCAUUAGAAUCGAUUUAUCGAUAAAUCGAAUCGAUUAUUUGUCAUCGAUUCAUCGAUAAAUCGAAUCGAAAAAAUCGAAACCUUAAUGAAACGAUAACGAUAAGCAUAUGUACAAAUCGAUAAUCGAUAAGUAAUUAUCGAUAACGGUCAAAAUCGAAUCGAUAAAUCGAAUGCACACUCCUAAUUAUUUCAUCUACCAAAUUAAGGAAUGAUCAUAUUUAAAGCUAAAGGGAAUGAAGUUCAAAUUAAUGGAAAAUAGAAAUAGCAGUGAUGAUGUAUUUUUAUUUUUUUAAUACCGUUGGAGUAUUGGUGGCAUCCAUUUGAUCCCUUAAUUUAGUUUCGUUGCAUGUGCC